GCCGGGGUGGCCUAGUGGGUGAGGGCGCCCGACUCAUAAUCGGGAGGUCGCGGGUUCGAAGCCCGCCCCCGGCA
rnacentral:tRNA from 1 species